CCGACCAUUGAACUGACCCCCUGGUAUGAUGAAAGCUUUGUUUGUAUUAGGCCAAUAUCUACAGACAGCGGUGGAGUCCAAUGCAAAUAGAUGAUGGAGGGAAGAUUGCAGUUAAGAGAAGACUUUCCACAUAACACAACAUAAUCCACAGUACCGGACUCCAGUGGAGAUUAGACAGAUAGGUCAUAAGAAAAUAAAAAGAAGGGUUUAGUAUGCUGAAAACUGUGUGAGGGGAUGUCCGCGUUCCAAAACAGACAAUCCGACAAGCUUGCCUGUUUCCUGCAGGAGGAGGCCAGAUGUCAGAACAAGCAGCAACCUAGCGGAGAAGACGGAGGGGCCGAAAACUUGAAGUUCAUCCAACGGCCACCAUCCGCACGGAGCUACGUGUUAAAAGGACCAACUUCACGGCCUACAAAGCAGGACAAAUGCAGCGGUGGUACCAGACAGACGUGCGGUGCCUCGGGGGAAACUCCCCUCCUCUGUGGGCCGAAUGCUGCGCAGGGGAAACCAUCACUCACUGUCCAUGCCUCCGUCAGGAUGGUGACGAUGCUGUCUGUUGGUGUAAGCUUGACGGAUGCCUCACAUGCAGGCGGAGGUCGCCCCGAGAGGGUGGAGGGCCACGAGACACCUUCGGCCACUUUCACAGAGAAAGGAUGGAGCAGAGUAAAUGAUGAUUCUAUCUGUCCACUUAUCAUCCGGCCCCCCCACCACCGUGCACAUGUUAUUUAUUAUGAAAUGACACCUCGCUGUCCGGAGAGCCUGCUGCAGUGGGCGUGAUUCAUAGAGGCGGACCAUGGGACACAGGAAGACCAUUAAAAACCCUAUCAACAUCAUGUCACAGUUGGUGGAAAACGAGGGGGGGGAACUGGACAGCCAGCGAGAUGUUUUAUGGUCAAGCCUGUUUUACAAACGGGGAGUACAGGUCAAGAAACCGUGAUCCAGCCAGGAUCCCAAUUGUGUCAUGAUUGUCUUCCAGCGGAAUAAUCUGAGCAUGGUGGAAACAGUUGGACAUUUUGGUGUGGUUUCUUUUCCGGAUGAGAGUUAGAGGGAAAUAUCUAUAUAACUCUCAUGUGUGAAUGGAAAAAAAUGGAGGCUAAUGUAGAGUUGACAUAUCCUAGUUUGUGAUGUACAAAUGCAAAUAUAAUCCGAUAUAAAGGAAUACUCAAAACUUAGUUCACACAGCGGUUUCAUUGUUUGAGAAUGACAUUUUUGCUGACUGAUGGUAAAAGAAUCCUUCUGUUAGCUUUUCUAAAGCUCCCUAAUAAACAUGUUAGCGUACCAGUCUUUAUGCUAAGCUAGGCUAAGAUGCCUUUUGCUAUUUGAGGCUGCUUCAUAAUUGUCAUACAAACAUGAGAGCGGUAUCAAUCUUUUUUCUUAACUGUUAACAAAAAAAAAAAAGUAAAACCAUUGCUGUACCAGUUUUGGAUGCACAUCCACAUGGAUGUAUUAGAAUAUGGCAUUAUCAAUAUGGCUUUACUGAAACUAUUACAGUAACUCAUGCUUGGCAAAUACACAGAAAACCGUCUGGCAGAUGCAGGUGCCUGAGCUCAAAUGGCAUCAGUGUGAGAAAAAAAAGAAUUCAGCAUCCAAUGUUUAUGAAAC
ensembl:lncRNA